CUGCCUGUCCCAGUGUCCUGGAUCUGGUCGCAAGUCAAGCCCGGAGUCCUCACCAUUGUCACCUCCAGGUCCUCUUCACAGGGUGGCUGGAGUGGCUCCUUCUGGCCCAUGUUGACCCAUGGAUGCCUCAUGAGGUCAGGAAGCAACACUGCCAGAAGCUAUGGCAAGCAGAGCCUCUUCUAAAAUGCCUUUGAUGACUGCAGCAACAUGGAUGCAACUAGAG